rnacentral:rRNA from 1 species
UCUUACGGCCAUACAACCUUGUCUGCGCCAGAUCUCAUCUGAUCCCGGAAGCUAAGCAGGAUCGAGCCUGGUUAGUACUUGGAUGGGAGACUGCGUGGGAACACCAGGUGCUGUAAGCU